rnacentral:rRNA from 1 species
UACGUAGGGGGGCAAGCGUUGUCCGGAUUUAUUGGGCGUAAAGAGCUCGUAGGCGGUUUGGUAAGUCUGGUGUGAAAUCUCCACGCUCAACGUGGAGGGGCCACCCGAUACUGCUGUGGCUAGAGUCCGGUAGGGGAGCAUGGAAUUCCUGGUGUAGCGGUGAAAUGCGCAGAUAUCAGGAGGAACACCAGUGGCGAAGGCGGUGCUCUGGGCCGGAACUGACGCUGAGGAGCGAAAGCGUGGGGAGCAAACAGG